ensembl:lncRNA
CUCCCAAGGAGAAAGGUUCUCUACCUGGAGAUUACUUCUCUUGGAGCCCUUCUGUGAGCCCAGGAUACAGGUGUCCGCGGGUUGGCAUAAACCCACUCCCUAAUCCUGUCUCUUUUAAGCCAAGUACAGCCAUAUCCAAAGCAGGUUCCCAAUCCUUUAGGUUGCAAUUCGUCUUAUUGCAGAUAGACGUUGGAAAGUAGGUCAUAUUAACCCAAAUGUGGACAAAUGGAUCCUACCCUAAGUGACAACUUCUGUCGUGUGCAAUUCGCCCCUUCCUGUCACAAACAGAGUUUCGGGGGGUGGUUCAGAGCUGAGCUGCAGGAAGAUGGGAGGCAAAGCUGACUUGAUUAAGACCGUGUUUUGGAACCUUUCUGCAUCUUGUUUAAAUUGAUUUUCUUCUGCUUCUAUUCUAAAAGUGGAAGGG